rnacentral:sRNA from 1 species
GCGGGUCAUGGCGCGGCUACCGAAGCUGGCAGUCUUUGAUUUGGAUUACACUCUCUGGCCUUUCUGGGUCGACACGCACGUAGACCCUCCGUUCCAUAAGAGCAGGUGAGGUAGGGACAGGGAGGACUGGGGCGAGAUAGGACCCAGCCAGGGCUGAGCGCACUCUUGCCCUCCCCAGUGAUGGAACUGUACGAGAUAGGCGGGGCCAAGACGUCCGACUGUACCCAGAGGUGCCUGAGGUCCUAAAACGAUUGCAGAGCCUUGGGGUGCCCGGUGCGGCUGCUUCAAGGACAAGUGAGAUAGAAGGGGCCAACCAGCUACUGGAGCUCUUUGACCUUAUCAGGUACUUUGUUCAUCGGGAAAUCUAUCCAGGCAGCAAGAUCACACACUUUGAGAGGUAUGAGGAGAUAAGGGAGGAGCAGGGUGAGAAAGUACCAGAGAGGCUUGGGAAACCAAGAUACUAGCUUGGUUACUCCUGCCCUGUCUUGCACAGGUUGCAGCAGAAGACUGGAAUUCCUUUCU